CGUUGGAAGGUUCCAUCAAGCCAUCACACCAGCCAAUUCAACCCACAGUCCAUUUCUAUGCUCAUCUACAUUAGGCCCAUAGACUUCUAUGAACAUCCACCGGAAGCUAUCCUUGAUAUUUCUAAAUGAGAUCGAUAGAGAAAACAGACUUUCGCUAACCUCCUCCAUAUCAAAGACUCUGGUGUCCCACAUUAUCAGUAUACUUCCCAAGGCCCCCGAUGACCCUACAAACUGAUACCCACAUGCUGUCCCCCCCAUAGGCUACUCACAAUGUCCCUCGACACAUCCUUCACCUUUGUUUCUUGUAAACAUACAAGGUCAGCCCUCCAUUUCCUCAAUGGAUUUCGAACUCCUAACCUUUUCCCUGGUUCAUUAAGCUUGCGUACGUUCCAACUAAUUAUUUUCGAAAUCAUCUUAAAACUCCAUCAUCCCUCCCCAUCACGCCUCUACUCCACUCGCUGCCCUUAAUAUAAUAGUUAAUUGAGCAUUCAAGCCGCUUAAGCUCACGAAUGCUCUUACUUCUCAUCUUACCUCCUGGAGUAGUAUAAAUAGGAUCGUAGUAGUGUCCCUCCUCUUCCUCCACCUGUUCAGCAACAUUAUCUGUGUUUUCCUUCUCAGCGCCACCCAUCCACACCACCAACGCAUUAUCAUUCUCUAGACCCCAUUAAUUCAAAGACUUAGCGCAUCGCCUGCUGUAGGUGUUCACUGCCUUGUGGCCGAGCCUGUUUACCCAUGUUGAUCUUCAAGUGCCGGCCCUGAGUGUUCACCCAGUUCAAGUCCAACCUCUUGCACAUCAUCUGACAACGAUCCUUUUACAAGUGGAAUCGUGUCUAAUGACCCCACAAUCGUAGAACAAAUAACUCUGUUCGCUUCCAAAACUUCCGUGGCAAUAUUCAUAAUGCCUUGCUCU
rnacentral:lncRNA from 1 species